rnacentral:lncRNA from 1 species
CCCACUACUGUGCCUGGAACACAGCAGAUGCUUACUGAGUACACAAAGGAGAAGAGGAAAGACCCCUGACCUUGAGUUCUCCAUCUCUUACCCCACUACUUUCCAACAAAGCAUCUGAGAAGUCCAGAGGCUCCAAGAGCAGCAGGAACUCUGGUUGACUGAGAGGCAGGCACCUUCCUCUGUUGAAGUCCCAGAUGCAAUCAACUUCCCACCUAGAGAUGUCAGAUAAAGUACAAGACAUUAAAU